UGGUGGGUAGUUUGACUGGGGCGGUCUCCUCCUAAAGAGUAACGGAGGAGCACGAAGGUUGGCUAAUCCUGGUCGGACAUCAGGAGGUUAGUGCAAUGGCAUAAGCCAGCUUGACUGCGAGCGUGACGGCGCGAGCAGGUGCGAAAGCAGGUCAUAGUGAUCCGGUGGUUCUGAAUGGAAGGGCCAUCGCUCAACGGAUAAAAGGUACUCCGGGGAUAACAGGCUGAUACCGCCCAAGAGUUCAUAUCGACGGCGGUGUUUGGCACCUCGAUGUCGGCUCAUCACAUCCUGGGGCUGAAGUAGGUCCCAAGGGUAUGGCUGUUCGCCAUUUAAAGUGGUACGCGAGCUGGGUUUAGAACGUCGUGAGACAGUUCGGUCCCUAUCUGCCGUGGGCGCUGGAGAACUGAGGGGGGCUGCUCCUAGUACGAGAGGACCGGAGUGGACGCAUCACUGGUGUUCGGGUUGUCAUGCCAAUGGCACUGCCCGG
rnacentral:rRNA from 2 species